rnacentral:lncRNA from 1 species
GGCGGCUCUAGGAGCGUCGGUCGCCUCUCUGAGGGCCGGCCCCGGAGGCCUCGGAGCGCCGGGCCUACCGGACGUUUGCGGCGAAGCUGCCCUGACUGAAAAGCGUCCGCGGGGCCGUCUGACAGGUCCGGGAAGAGGCCCCUGAGGGGCGGACGGGCGCGUCUCCACCGUUUUCGCAGAGGGAUACUGGUGAAGCGGGAGUGGUGUGCGGCCUCAGGUCCGGGCGGCACUGGGGUUAGGGACUGCGGAGGGAAGUGGUGCGUGUUUUUUGUCCUGAGGGCCAGUAAAUGACCUGCGACAUAACUAUUUGCAAAACAAAUGGGGAAGACCAAGAUAAAGAUAAGUUAUAUCACAGGAAAGCAAUUGAAAAUGCAAAAAUGAAGCAUCUGAAUGAAGGACUAAUAACACUGAAUUCAGCUUUUGUGAAUCUUAUCUGCAGAUAUGUACAGACCACAUCCUAAGAUUGACUUCUGCCUCAACAGAAAUACAUGAGCCAGUGCCUUAUUGGAAAUGAUUUGCGUGUUUUAAGAACUGGUGUAUAUAGGUACAUCUUGAAUGUUCUGCUUUCCUUGCCUUAUGCCUGUACUUCACCUCAGCCUUCAAUUCCAUUGUGUUUCCUUGCUACUUGGUAUCUUGAAAUCUGGUACGAAACUAUUGCAUGAUCCCUGCACCUUUGCUUCUGCAUAUAUCAUAGCUCUCUUAUAGUGAGUGUGCACAAUCUAUUUCAUUUGAUGUAAUCAAAGUUUAAUAUAUUGGAUAGUUAAAAAUAAAAUACAAC